rnacentral:ncRNA from 2 species
GGGAACCCGGUGCGAAGCCGGGACGGCCGCGCCACUGUGAGUCGCCGGGAGGCGGCGAGUCAGGACACC